rnacentral:rRNA from 1 species
UGGGAAGUUAAAUGACUGAGUGGCGGACGGGUGAGUAACGCGUGGAUAACCUACCAUAGUACAGGGGGACAACAGUUGGAAACGACUGCUAAUACCGCAUAAGCGCACAGUGCCGCAUGGCACGGUGUGAAAAACUCCGGUGGUAUAUGAUGGAUCCGCGUCUGAUUAGCUAGUUGGUGAGGUAACGGCCCACCAAGGCAACGAUCAGUAGCCGACCUGAGAGGGUGACCGGCCACAUUGGGACUGAGACACGGCCCAAACUCCUACGGGAGGCAGCAGUGGGGAAUAUUGCACAAUGGGCGAAAGCCUGAUGCAAGCGACGCCGCGUGAGCGAAGAAGUAUUUCGGUAUGUAAAGCUCUAUCAGCAGGGAAGAAAAUGACGGUACCUGACUAAGAAGCCCCGGCUAACUACGUGCCAGCCGCAGC